AUGAUUUGGAAAGGCACACACCUGUCUAUAGAAGGUACAUGUCCAUAAGUAUUCACAGCCUUUGCUCAAUACUUUGUCGAUGCCCCUUUGGCAGCAAUUCCAGCCUCAAGUCUUGUUGAAUAUGAUGCCACAAGCUUGGCACACCUAUCCUUGGCCAGUUUCUCCCAUUCCUCUUUGCAGCACCUCUCAAGCUCCAUCAGGUUGGAUGGGAAGCGUCGGUGCACAGCCAUUUUAAGAUCUCUCCAGACAUGUUCAAUCGGAUUCAAGUCUGGGCUCUGGCUGGGCCACUCAAGGACAUUCACAGAGUUGUCCUGAAGCCACUCCUUUGAUAUCUUGGCUGUGUGCUUAGGGUCGUUGUCCUGCUGAAAGAUGAACCGUCGCCCCAGUCUGAGGUGAAGAGCGCUCUGGAGCAGGUUUUCAUCCAGGAUGUCUCUGUACAUUGCUGCAGUCAUCUUUCCCUUCAUCCUGACUAGUCUCCCAGUCCCUGCCGCUAAACAACAUCCCCACAGCAUGAUGCUGCCACCACCAUGCUUCACUGUAGGGAUGGUAUUGGCCUGGUGAUGAGCUGUGCCUGGUUUCCUCCAAACGUGACGCCUGGCAUUCACACCAAAGAGUUCAAUCUUUGUCUCAUCAGACCAGAUAAUUUUCUUUCUCAUGGUCUGAGAGUCCUUCAGGUGCCUUUUGGCAAACUCCAGGCGGGCUGCCAUGUGCCUUUUACUAAGGAGUGGCUUCCGUCUGGCCACUCUACUAUACAGGCCUGAUUGGUGGAUUGCUGCAGAGGUGGUUGUACUUCUGGAUGGUUCUCUUCUCUCCACAGAGGACCUCUGGAGCUCUUGACAGAGUGACCAUCGGGUUCUUGGUCACCUUCCUGACUAAGGCACCGAUCGCUCAGUUUAGAUGGCCGGCCAGCUCUAGGAAGAGUCCUGGUGGUUUCGAACUUCUUCCACUUACGGAUGAUGGAGGCCACUGAGCUCAUUGGGACCUUCAAAGCAGCAGAAAUUUUUUUGUAACCUUCCCCAGAUUUGUGCCUCGAGACAAUCCUGUCUUGGAGGUCUACAGACAAUUCCUUUGACUUCAUGCUUGGUUUGUGCUCUGACAUGAACUGUCAACUCUGGGACCUUAUAUAGACAGGUGUGUGCCUUUCCAAAUCAUGUCCAGUCAACUGAAUUUAUCACAGGUGGACUCCAAUUAAGCUGCAGAAACAUCUCAAGGAUGAUCAGGGGAAACAGGAUGCACCUGAGCUCAAUUUUGAGCUUCAUGGCAAAGGCUGUGAAUACUUAUGUACAUGUGCUUUCUCAGUUUUUUUAUUUUUAAUAAAUUUGCAAAAACCUCAAGUACACGUUUUUCAUGUUGUCAUUAUGGGGUGUUGUGUGUAGAAUUCUGAGGAAAAAAAUGAAUUUAAUCCAUUUUGGAAUAAGGCUGUAACAUAACAAAAUGUGGAAAAAGUGAUGCGCUGUGAAUACUUUCCGGAUGCACUGUAUGUGCCAGUCAGAAUGUUCAGGUAUUGUACGUGAUCGUAAAAGGAAAGCAAAAUGCAAACUUUAUAUAAACAGGGCUUAAAUUAGAGGCGAGGCCUGUCCCAUUUGCUCCUGCUACACAAAACUCAGAAUGUCUACCAACACAUUUGGAGAAGGUGUCUAGUAAGCCUUAGAAAGCAGCAGUAAUACAAGAACACAACAGCAAAGCUUUCUACCAAGAGCAUAAAGAUCCUGACAAGUGAGAGACCAUUUAGUCCGUCCACCUUGUUUGGUUAACUAAUAGAUAAAUUCUUGCAAGGUCACUCCUCUAUAACUGUAUACAUAUUACAGAAGGCAUGUUAUAGAAGCAGGCUACUACUCCCUCUUCCUUACAAGGUCCCUAAAUAUCUGGUGGGUGCUGCAUCUGCUUUCCCCAAAGCACUGCACAUUUACCUCACUCACCAAGUUCUGACUGCCUCACUUCCUGACAUCUUUCCUCCUAGUGUUAGGCCGAGUACUGUUCUGUAUGAGAAACACUUUCACAUGCCAUAGUAUACGUUUAGGGCAAUACAUUAUAAUUUAUCACAUACUGAUUCAUCUUUGUUUUAUUAUUUAUUUGCUAAGUUAAUGACCCAGUGUGCUCUCUGAACAAUUCAAUAGAAACUGAAGAUGAACUGAAAUAACACUUAAAAAGCCUCCAAUUCAGUUUUAGCCAAGCCCAUCGUCAAAUCUGCAAAACACCUAGAAAUUCUGCUAUUUCUUCUUCUAGCAUCAGAACUUCCAGGACACACCAGGCGGUCAUAACUACAAUCAGUGAUAAUUACAGAGCUUCUUGAAUACAACACUCCUUGGCCUCAGUGUUCUGUUCUUGAGGUGUUGCUCCACUACUUUCCCCAGGAGUCACUACCAAAUAUGGAACCUUAUGAUUAAGUUUUACAAGACACUGAUGAAAGGAUAACAAUAAAGAGUGCAAAAGACCCCCUUCUUUUGACACCCACUGCACACCCAACCUACCUGGAAAGGGGUCUCUCUUUGAACUGCCUUUCCCAAGGUUUCUUCUAUUUUUCCCUACAAGGUUUUUUUGGGAGUUUUUCCUUGUCUUCUUAGAGAGUCAAGGCUGGGGGGCUGUCAAGAGGCAGGGCCUGUUAAAGCCCAUUGCGGCACUUCUAGUGUGAUUUUGGGCUAUACAAAAAUAAAUUGUAUUGUAUUGUAUUGUAUUGCAAAUAUUGUUUGUUUGGCUUGAAAUAGAUGCAAAUACUCUCGUGCCUACAUGAUGAAAUCCACAUCUUUGCUGUCUGGAUCUUUAUUCUGUACUACUGUACUUCACCCCAACCCCCACGGGCCAUGCUAUACGCCAGCCACUUCACGUCUCUGCCGCUCGCGUGGUGGGGCUGAACGCAUGCUAAGGAGAUGCGGUCGGAUCAGCUGCUGGCUUGCUGCUGCCGAGCUGCGUGUUCUGCCUGUCACGCUGCGCGUCGAUCAUUUAAAAGCCUGUACAGCAGCUGUCCUUUUGUCUCACUGACUUGUCUCGUGGGACGUCAAAGUGUCUUUACGAGAAGAUCACGUCUCGACCCAAGAUUUUUUUAUUAUAAUACAUACACUACUAGUCGAACGUUUGUGCACAGCCAGAAAUUUGAAUGUUUUUUAUAGAAAUUCUGUUUUAAUCAGGAUACCAUUAAAUUGAGUUGAAAAAUACAAUCAAGACAUUACUAGUGUUGCAUAAUGGCUGUUACUGCUUUGAAAUGACAGAUUUUUAAUUUAUUAUUCACAUUUAGAUAGAUAGAUAGAUAGAUAGAUAGAUAGAUAGAUAGAUAGAUAGAUAGAUAGAUAGAUAGAUAGAUAGAUAGAUAGAUAGAUAGAUAGAUAGAUAGAAUGGCACUACAGUAAUCCCUAACUUAUCGCGGGAGAUAGGUUCAAAGGCUGACCACGAUAACUGAAUUUCCGCGAAGUAGGGACACCAUAUGUAUUUAAUUAUUUAACGUGUAUUUGGACGUUUUUAAACCCUCCCUGUAUUGUUUACAACCAACCCAUUACUCUAUUAAUAAGAGGGACAACUGCUAAGCAAUAUGAAAUCGGUAGAUAAGUUUACACUUACUGUAUAGCGAAGUACACGUAGCUAUAUAUGACGUGAUGAUGGUGAUGAAUAUGCUGCGCAGUAAAAAUGAUGACGAUGAAGGUGAUAAUCCCCUGAAUGCAGUAGCAAGAGCACGUUAAUGCUGAAUGAGUGAGAUGAGACUUCCUGGUUAAUGCAGCACUCCGUCGCUGAGCCAAUCAGCAGCACACAGGAACUUAACUGCGUGCUCUGAUUGGGUAGCUUCUCAGCCAUCCGCCAAUAGCAUCUCUUGUAUGAAAUCAACUGGGCAAACCAACUGAGGAAGCAAGUACCAGAAGUAAAAAGACCCAUUGUCCACAGAAACCCGCGAAGCAGCGAAAAAUCUGUGUUAUAUAUUUAGAUAUGCUUACAUAUAAAAUCCGCGAAGUUGUGAAUCCGCGAAAAGUGAACCGCGAAGUAGCGAGGGAUUACUGUAUAUAAUAGAUAGAUAGAUAGAUGUGAAAGGCACUAUAUAAUAGAUAGAUAGAUGUGAAAGGCGAUAGAUAGAUAGAUAGAUAGAUAGAUAGAUAGAUAGAUAGAUAGAUAGAUAGAUAGAUAGAUAGAUAGAUAGAUAGAUAGAUAGAUAGAUAGAUAGACUUCAGUGUGGACACCACACCAGAAUGACUAGAAUGCAAGAAAAUUAAAAAGAAAGAAAAGGCGCUAUACAGUCGUAUUGCUGUUGGUAUAAAGGAGCCCUAGUUAUGUUUCUUGACACACUUCUUCUGUGGUGUCAGAGAGGGGAUGUGCAGCAUUGUUCAUAAUGACACUCAGCUUUGUUUUAAUUCUCUCCUUCGACUUUGACUGCAAAGUCCCAUUUUCAGCAGCCAUUCCUUCCAUGUCCUAAUAGUAAACUCCCUUAGCAUAGCCUUAAUUAGUUGUGUGUUAAUGCUAAUUGGUUAUUAGAGAAACUUUUGUCAUUUCUUUAGCACCGCUAGAAUCCAUUAUUCUGUUCAUUUGGGUUCCAAGGUACUGGCAUUCCUAAAGUUCAGUUCUGGCCUUGCAUUUGUAAAGUUCAGUCCCGAGUUCAGAAAUGGCCAAAAUAAGAGUUUUCAGUGAUGCUAAAGCAAUUAGAAAGGUUUCCGUAAUAAUCAGUAUUUCUAUCAAUAAUCAGCAUUUAAAAUGACUAAUUAUGGAUUAGCAAAGGGAGUUGACCAUUAGGUGGGUGAAGGAAUGACUGCUGAAAAGGGGCCUUUGCAGUCAUAUAUGAAUAAUAAAUAAAAAAUCAUCUAUUUCAAGCAGUAACAACCAUUAUACACACUGUCUUUAAAAGAUUUUUAAAUAAAUUUAUUAGUAUCUUGAUAAAAAUAGGCAACAAUUUCUAUCAAAAACGUGAACUUUUUUCGGCUAGUCCAAAUAUUUGACUGGUAGUCAUUUCUUGUGCAUCUCUUUGGGUGUUUCCCAUCCCCACAUGCCUUCCACAUCUAAGUUUGUCUAAUUUGCU